rnacentral:rRNA from 1 species
UACGAAGGGUGCAAACGUUGCUCGGAAUUAUUGGGCGUAAAGCGCACGUAGGCGGCUUAGCAAGUCGGAUGUGAAAUCCCUCGGCUCAACCAAGGAAGUGCAUCCGAAACUGCAGAGCUUGAGUACUUAAGAGGAUCGCGGAAUUCCCGGUGUAGAGGUGAAAUUCGUAGAUAUCGGGAGGAACACCAGUGGCGAAGGGCGCGAUCUGGGAAGAUACUGACGCUGAGGUGCGAAAGCGU